GUUUAAUCGCCAUGGAGCCAAAGUCUUUACAGUCAGUUUCAUACGAAUGGGCUCCAUGGGAUUCCUAUCUGGGGUAUAACACAUUCAAACAAAUCUACCGAACCCCAGGCAGAAAAGCACGAAUACAGCUUUUCUGCAGGCAAAAAUAAAGUCUUUUAAAAGGGGGCCAUAGUCCAAAGGCAGCAGGCGAGCAACCAGGCUUCUCCAAUGCACUGUGGCGAGAUUGGUCUCGUCACAUCUCUCCCCUUUUACAAACAGACUAACAGGGUAUCUGACCUCCUGCCGGUCAGUGCCCUUGUUAGUCCAGCAGCCCACCCACAACAAAUGAUCAACAGCACAGCCCACCCACAAUAAAUGGUUACUACACCUGGGUAAAGGAGAAGCUUGUCCAUGUCCAGGUGCCUCACCACGGCUGGGCUGGGUACGGGUACGCUGACUUGGUGGGUUGCUGCGUGGGCAGAGACCAGCGGCACUCUGCCCUGUUGCCAGCGCUACUGGGAGGAUAGCCUGGUUGAAGCCUGGUUGUUGGAGGGGGAGACCGACUGUCUCCCCUUUAAAUACACCGCUCUGCUGCUGGAGACUGACUGUCUCCCCUUUAGAUGCACAGUCCUGCUGCUGGAGACUGACCGUCUCCCCUUUGGUUACCCAUCUCUGCUGCUGGAGGGGGAGACCGACUGUCUCCCCUUUGGCUAAACAGCCCUGUCGCUGGGGGGCAGAACCGACCGUCCCUACCCCCUGUGCUGGCAGUGUAGAGACUACGGUCCCAUCUGCACAGUUGUGGGGCUUACUGUCUCCCCCUGAUACAUUAAGCUGCAGCUGGGGAGAGGGGGUAACAGGCUCCUCUCCCGAUAGAACACUCUGCCGCU